CUCACAUUUUCAUCUUAGAUCUCAGGAUGCUGUGUCUGUGAUCUGGACCCAUUGUUUGUGGUCUGUAGAUGCUGUGUCUGUGAACUGGAGACGGUGUGUUGGUGACCUGGAGGCGCUGUGGUUUGUGGAUGCUGUGUCUAUGUCCUGGGGAUACCGUGUCUGUGACCUGGACCCAUUGUUUAUGGUCUGUGGAACCUGUGUCUAUGAACUGGAGACGCUGUGUCUGUGACCUGGUGAUACAGUCUGUGGUCUCUGGAUGUGGUGUCUGUGACCAGGAAUCUGUGCCUGUGACCUGGGGACGCUGUGUCUGUGACCUGGGGACGCUGUGUCUGUAAACUUGGGGCGCUGUGUCUGUAACCUGGGGACGCUGUGUCUGUAACCUGAAUCCAUUGUUUGUGACCGUAGGACGCUAAAUCUCUGUCUAUGACCUGAGGACGCUGUGUGUAUGACCUGGGAAGCUGUGUCUGUAACCUAUGAGUGCUAUGUCAGAUGACCCUUUGUUUGUGGACUGUGGACAUUGUGUCAGUGACCCUGGAAUACAAAAUAUGUGUCUGUGAUUCUGUGACAUGAGAACACAGAGUCUGUGACCUAGGGACGUUGCAUCUGUAAUCUGAAGACUAUAACCUUGGAACUCGGUGUCCUGUGAACCCUGUGUCUGUGACGCUCUCUAAUACCCAAGGAAGCUGUAUUUGUGACCUGUGGGCGUUGUGUCUGUGACUUGGGGAAAUUGUGUCUGUGUCCUGGGAAUAUUGCGUCUUUGACAUGGGGACCCUAGGUACCUCCAGGAUGCUGUUUGUUGUGUUCACAUUCCUGCUAUUGGUACGGAUGAAUGAACCAUCUUUCCCAGGUAAGUUAUGGACCCGCUGAUAUCAAAGCAAAUAAAUGAACUGGUUUGUUG